AUUUUAUGAAACCCCAGAUCCACUUCCUUUUCUUUGAGAUUCUUCACUAAAGCAUGUUUUCCCUGUUGCAAUAGACUGAAUUCAGUCAUCUCCUUUAUUGUUCAGUUCAUUUUGUCUUUGACAGUUUGGGGCCAUGACUCAGGUCUGAGCCUUUCCCUUGGGUCCUCCGGUUCUCGGGUUUGCUCCCCUGACCACUGGCUGGAGGACCUGAUGGAUCCUAAGAAGCCCUGAGAGCUGAGGUCCAACAACUUGAUGUAAACCUCAAAGGAUUCAUCAUUGCAACAGAUUAUUCAUGGGCUGAACUUUUCCCUGGACACGCUGCUGUCUGGCUGCUGUUUGGGCCAUUAAAGAAGGAAGUCCAGCAAAAUGCUCAGGUCAUGCAUGCUCUUAUAUGGGAAGCAACCAAGACUGUGGACAAUAUCACCAGAGUAUUGACGUCCUAACUUCAAGAAACCCAAUGAAUGGUGUUGUGUAAGCGAAAGAUUUUCCUCCACUGACCUCCUGGCAUCUGUCAGACUAUUUACUGUCCGGUUUCAACUCCUAGCUCUUUAGUUUAAUGCAAUCUUUUACAUUAAAUAUCUGUCUUUUUAAAUGUAAGAUGCCUGAUAUCCAGGACUUGAAAAGAACUGAUCUUUGCCACCGCCUGUCAACAGAUGGUUCAACUAAUUUUACAAGAACAAUGCCAACAAGAGCCCCUGAGAAACUGUUUCUUAGACCCUGCUUUGCGCCACACCAGAGGGCUUAUGAUCACUUCUGAGUUGUUCAGUGAGGAAUAAUAUUCACUUGUUUUGAACUGAAGGAGGAACUGGGAAUGUUAAACUUUAUCUGAGCCCUGUCCUCACAGGAAACAGUGACAGUUAAGAAAUCUCCCCACUGUUUUGUAUUCUGGGAAAUGAUUAACAACAAAGAAUCAUCCUCCUCCACAUGCGAUAGGUAAGACCUGCCUCCACGCAUCCUCAUGAUUUUCUUGUUUACCUACCUCUAUAAAACCCCAAACUCCCUACUUGCUCUUUAGCGUUCCUCACUCAUGAGUGUUCUCUCUAUUGCAAUAGCCUGAAUAAAAUAAUCUCUUUAGUUGUCUGGUGCAUUUUGUGUUUCACAUCCCAUAGAGUACAUUCCAGCUGCCUGGAAGGAUAGGAUAGGGCAACAUUGCCUGGGAU
rnacentral:lncRNA from 10 species